UGGGGAAUUUUGCACAAUGGGCGAAACCCUGAUGCAGCGACGCCGCGUGAUUUAGAAGGCCUUCGGGUUGUAAAAAUCUUUUCUAUGGGAAGAAAAUGACAGUACCAUAUGAAUAAGGACCGGCUAAUUACGUGCCAGCAGCCGCGGUAAUACGUAAGGUCCGAGCGUUGUCCGGAAUCAUUGGGCGUAAAGGGUACGUAGGCGGGUAAGCAAGUUAGAAGUGAAAUCCUAUAGCUCAACUAGAGUAAGCUUUUAAAACUGCUCAGCUUGAGGUAUGGAGAGGAAAGUGGAAUUCCUAGUGUAGCGGUGAAAUGCGCAGAUAUUAGGAGGAAUACCGGUGGCGAAGGCGGCUUUCUGGCCAUAACCUGACGCUGAGGUACGAAAGCGUGGGUAGCGAACAGG
rnacentral:rRNA from 1 species